AGCACUUACCGGGCUGAGGAGAGCGAGCAGCAGGGCUAAGGCGAACGGGGCGAAGGUGUUGGGGACCAUCCUGCAGCGGUCAGCGGCUUGUGGGUGAUGAGGCGGCGGCGUCGGGCUGCCGGGCGGCGAGGGGAGCCGAGAUGCUCUCUAUGAAUAGAGAGAGUGCCUAUUUACUCUGAAAUACUUGGCACAGUGAGUGGAGUCUGAAGCAUGGAAGAAGUGGCUAUUAUUUUCCCACUGCCUGUGUGCAGCUGUCAUUUCUGAGCAACACGUUCCUCGUUCCUCGCACAUCUCUGCUUCCAACCUUCCUGAUGGUCCGCCCCAGGAUUACAACAAGAAGAGAAUGGCAUGCCACCUCAUUCAGCCAAAACCUUAACGCUGUGGUUUGUAUUUGACUGAACGUAAGCACUGUGGCUUGUAUUAAGUCAUUGCAGAUAACUGGUAUGAUUAUUGUUGGGUUUCUUUUUCCUUUCUUUUUUUAACUGGGAGGAUGGCUCUUCCCCCGCCUCCCGUGUAUGAUUUGAAUAUUCAGUGAUGUCAUGUUGUUUGACCUCCGCUUUAACGCAAGGAAUGCCAAUGUUUUGGCUUUUGACCUGUGGAAGUAUGUUAGUGCUUAGUAAGAGAGACUGGCUUGAUGCAUCACAAUAAGCAAUCUAAAAUCUGGUAGUACCUUAAGAGAUACCUCAUCUUUUGUAUGCAGGCUUUCCCCCACUGCUGUUCUCCCUUGCUCCCCACUUCUUUCCAUGCCUCCAUAUGUAGGCAUACUUCCAUGCUAUGAUGCUGUGAUAGUAAAACAAGAUUCAUGAGAGGAAAAGAAGGUCUUCCAUGUAAUGCUCCAGUAGGACCAUUUUGCUGUAAAACUGCUACUUAUAUUCUGCCAGCAUUAUACUGCAUCUGGAAAAGUCAUUUGGAUGUCAUUUCUUCUACUUGAAAUUCUCCAAUAAAAUAAAUGAGAUUGUCUUUGAAAGAAAAAAUGAA